CGCAGAGGCCCAUCCCUAGGCCUGAUGGCCUUUGCACUGCAGCAUGGGUGUUGAAUAACAAUUUGUGUGGGCCUCCAGAAUAAUCUUCAUACCCUGGUCCAAGCCAACGCCAUCAAACACGUCGUAACACACGUUCAUCAGCUCAUAUGGACAAGCUUCGAUUCCUUCCCAACUUCAUCUUCUUGCUUCGAAAAUUCACAUGAAGAAAAUCAUGAGCCAGUAAAACGAGAUCCACGUAUCUUUGAUUCCAGAUUUUUACCUCCAUUUCGGAAAUCAAACUGAAACUAUGAAAAAUCUUGAAUCUGGAAUAAUCAUCGUCAUCCAAGUCUUUCAAAUUAACGUCUUCGCCAAAUGGAACUGUGAAAUCUGUGCGCGAGGUUGAACGACUUCAAGAGGUUCAAAUUGAUAGGAUGAGAAAGAGAAUGAGACUUACCUAGUUGAUUCGAUGCGGUGGUUCUCUGGCGAAAAAAGGGUGUUUUUUCCACUUGAGGGUUCUCAACAGUCAAAUUUUCAGCUUCCACAUUACCUUGCUUGAUUUCCUCGGCAUCAUCAGUCUUUGCGUUACCAAUGAUUAUGUUAUCAGCAUCAACUGGAUCAGCUUUCGGUUCUUCCGCAGAAGACAGUUCCUUUUCAGAUUCAACUAUUGCCUCCUCAACCACGGCAUUUGAAGCUUCUUGAACAAGUUCACCUUCUGUAUUACUAGGCUUAAUUUCGUCUGCAUCAUUACUUUUUGUUUUAUUAUUGACAUUGUCAUCAGUGUCCAUUGGAUCAGCUUUAGGUUCUUCAUCUAUAAAGCUGUAACAGAUUUGUCAUUUCGGAAAUAGUUCUCUGAUGUUGAAUACGGAAAUUUGGAGCAGCUUCCUUGAGUUUCUGAGCAACAACCAUGGUGAUUGGUAGUUAAAGUUGAUUAGUCCACUGCUUGAAACUGGUUAAGUAAUUGUUAGCUAUUAUUAGGUUUUUGUGUGUUUGAAUUAUGCUGCAGAAUUUUUGUAUGGUUUAGUGUGGCUGCAGUUGUAUAACUGUUAGGCAGGUUUUGUGAUGUUGAUGUUGUUCUUCAAUGUUGGAUAAUCAUUGUGUACUACUGCUCGAUUUCGUGACUGUAUGCAUUUGAAUUAUCUUACGUAAUGUUGAAUGGUUUAAUGCUUUUGGUCAUGAAAUGUGCGUACACAAUGUUGUAUGUUUUCCAUGGUUAUGAUGAUAUUGUUGGUCAUGAUGUUGUAGGUUGGCUGCCAUGGUUAUGGAUAUUUGCACCAAAGCUCUAAACAAAAUCAUCAUGACAAAGAUGCAAGGACAAGCUUGGGAGGGGAAGUUAGCUUGGAAGAAAAAUGAUGAAGCAAGAAGAAUGAAGGAUGACAUUAUGAAGUUUAGGACUCUUAAAAAAAUGUUGACUUUGGUCAAAGUUGACCAAAAAGUCAACUAUUGACCAAAGUCAUCCUUUGGUCAAAGUCAUUAUUUUUUGUAUUUCUUUUCAAAUGAUGUAAAUCUGACCAUGUAUGAAUGAAUAUUUGUAUGAUUAUGUCUUUUGAAUGUAAUGAAAUAAUAUCUUAUUUUGCCCACUAAAA